rnacentral:lncRNA from 8 species
AUGAGUAGGUGUGUCCAAAUUAUGUAUAUAGUUGAAUUGAACCAGUGGUUCAGUAUAGAAUCACAGAAAGACACACAACUAUAUACUGGCCCACUGGUUCUAUUCAGCUAUAUACUGGCCCACUGGUUCUAUUCAGCUACAUACUGGCCCACUGGUUCUAUUCAGUUAUAUACUGGCCCACUGGUUCUAUUCAGCUUAUACUGGCCCACUGGUUCUAUUCAACUAUAUACUGGCCCACUGGUUCUAUUCAACUAUAUACUGGCCCACUGGUUCUAUUCAGCUUAUACUGGCCCACUGGUUCUAUUCAGCUGUAUACUGGCCCACUGGUUCUAUUCAGCUAUAUACUGGCCCACUGGUUCUAUUCCACUAUAUACUGGCCCACUGGUUCUAUUCCACUAUAUACUGGCCCACUGGUUCUAUUCCACUAUAUACUGGCCCACUGGUUCUAUUCAGCUAUAUACUGGCCCACUGGUUCUAUUCCACUAUAUACUGGCCCACUGGUUCUAUUCCACUAUAUACUGGCCCACUGGUUCUAUUCCACUAUAUACUGGCCCACUGGUUCUAUUCCCCUAUAUACUGGCCCACUGGUUCUAUUCAACUAUAUACUGGCCCACUGGUUCUAUUCCCCUAUAUACUGGCCCACUGGUUCUAUUCCACUAUAUACUGGCCCGGCCCACUGGUUCUAUUCAACUAUAUACUGGCCCACUGGUUCUAUUCAGCUAUAUACUGGCCCGGCCCACUGGUUCUAUUCAGCUAUAUACUGGCCCACUGGUUCUAUUCAGCUGUAUACUGGCCCACUGGUUCUAUUCAACUAUAUACUGGCCCACUGGUUCUAUUCAGCUAUAUACUGGCCCGGCCCACUGGUUCUAUUCAGCUAUAUACUGGCCCACUGGUUCUAUUCAGCUGUAUACUGGCCCACUGGUUCUAUUCAGCUAUAUACUGGCCCACUGGUUCUAUUCAGCUAUAUACUGGCCCACUGGUUCUAUUCAGCUAUAUACUGGCCCACUGGUUCUAUUCAGCUAUAUACUGGCCCGGCCCACUGGUUCUAUUCAACUAUAUACUGGCCCACUGGUUCUAUUCAGCUAUUUACUGGCCCGGCCCACUGGUUCUAUUCAGCUACAGCCUUUUCCUUUAUCGGUUAUAUUAUGUUAUGUUAAUAAUAUGUUAUAUUAUUAUAUAAUAUAUUAUAGUAUACUAUAG